UCCGUUGGUGAACCAGCGGAGGGAUCAUUACUGAGUUUACGCUCUACAACCCUUUGUGAACAUACCUAUAACUGUUGCUUCGGCGGGCAGGGUCUCCGUGACCCUCCCGGCCUCCCGCCCCCGGGCGGGUCGGCGCCCGCCGGAGGAUAACCAAACUCUGAUUUAACGACGUUUCUUCUGAGUGGUACAAGCAAAUAAUCAAAACUUUUAACAACGGAUCUCUUGGUUCUGGCAUCGAUGAAGAACGCAGCGAAAUGCGAUAAGUAAUGUGAAUUGCAGAAUUCAGUGAAUCAUCGAAUCUUUGAACGCACAUUGCGCCCGCCAGCAUUCUGGCGGGCAUGCCUGUUCGAGCGUCAUUUCAACCCUCAAGCUCUGCUUGGUGUUGGGGCCCUACGGCUGACGUAGGCCCUCAAAGGUAGUGGCGGACCCUCCCGGAGCCUCCUUUGCGUAGUAACUUUACGUCUCGCACUGGGAUCCGGAGGGACUCUUGCCGUAAAACCCCCAAUUUUCCAAAGGUUGACCUCGGAUCAGGUAGGAAUACCCGCUGAACUUA
rnacentral:rRNA from 3 species